UACGGGGGGGGCAAGCGUUGUUCGGAAUUACUGGGCGUAAAGGGCUCGUAGGCGGCCAACUAAGUCAGACGUGAAAUCCCUCGGCUUAACCGGGGAACUGCGUCUGAUACUGGAUGGCUUGAGUUUGGGAGAGGGAUGCGGAAUUCCAGGUGUAGCGGUGAAAUGCGUAGAUAUCUGGAGGAACACCGGUGGCGAAGGCGGCGACCUGGGUCGAGACUGACGCUGAGGCGCGAAAGCGUGGGGAGCAAACAGG
rnacentral:rRNA from 1 species